AAAGUACUUAAAAGCAAUUAAAAACAUAGAAAAAGUAUUUCAAAACGAUCCAUAAAAGUGGUCAAAAUACGGUGUUAUUAAAGUGAUUGAUGUUUUUUAAGUAUGCUUUGUAGAGUAGCGCAUGCUUUUUGAGAUGUUUUGCAGAAAACAUGGUAUCAUCUGCAAAGAGGAGAUAGUUUUAGUGGACUGUGUUUUGCAAUCCUGAUACCUGAGAGCAGCCAUUUGUCUUGUGCCUUUCUGCAUAAUUCCGAAAGAACUUCACCGCAGAGUAUAAAGAUGUAAGGUGAAAGGAGAUCUCCUUGUCGUAUUCCUCUUUGUGGGACUACCAGACCUUGUGCUGAGUCAUUGAUGAGGUAAGAAUAGGAGACUGUGGUUAUGCCUUGCAUAAUACAAUUAAUCCAUAUACUGUGAAACCCAAAUUGAUACAGUGCAACAUGGAUGAAGGGCCAUUCCAGGCGGUUAUAAGCUUUGCUCAUGUCAGUUUUAUCGGCCAUGGAGCAAUGUUUUAUGGCUUUUGAUCGUUUUAGGAAAUGUAGGUUCUCGUGGGUGAUCAUUACAUUGUCCGUGAUGGCUUAGCCAGGAAUGAAUGCAAAUUGCGAGUCUGAGAUGAUGUCCUGCAGUACCGGUUGAAGGCAUCUGGUAGUUUCUCUGAAGAGAAGAAUCCUUGGAUUUUUGUGACAAUAGCAUCGCCAAUGGAGGUCUAGUUGGCUCAGAAGAAAGAGGCUGAGAAUCCAUCCGGCCCUGAUGCUUUGUCAGGGUGGAUGGAGAAGAGAACAUCCUUGAUCUCUUUUGCAGAUGGCAGGGUAGUCAGAGAGUUAUUGGCAUCGUCAGAGAUGCGGGUGGUGCAACUGUGCUCGUGCAGUCGGAGAAGUCAGAGGUGAAGAGCUGUUGAAAGUAAUUACUUACUACAGAGGUGAUUUCGGAUUCUUCGAAGACUGCUAUGCCAUCAUCUUUUUCUGUUACAGAGAAUUUGUUUUGGGCUUUACGGUUUUUGUCACAACAUGGAAGAAGCCAGUGUUUUUGUCUCCUAAGGUCAGCCACAUGGAUCGACUUCGCUGUUUCCAGGGACUCAAGAUAGAAGAUGAGAGGCCUGUGAUCAGAAAUUUCAUAUCUGAGAUAGUGGCAUCUUCAAGCAAGGAACAUAUCUGCCCAUAGGCUGUUGGAUAAUGCCCUGUCAAGGCGGCAAUAAACCAGAUGGUCAUUUCGUCUUCCACACCAAGAUAAAGAAUUGCCGUGGUGCAGAAGGUCGAAGAGAUCACAGCGUGAGAGGGAUGCCCUGAAGUAGCAGAAGGAGCCUUCAGCUCUCUCGGGUCCUCCCAGUUUUUCCGAGUUGUCAAUUAUAUCAUUAAAGUCUCCAGUCAGGAACCAUGGGAGCUCACGAUUGAUCGCAGUUUCAGAUAGAGAUUCCCAUAUUGCAGAGUGCUUUGAUUGGAUGAGAUGACUUCGAGAUGGAUGUUAUUAUUCCAAAAAAGGGCUAGGCCUCCUCCACCAGGACUAUUUGGGGGCACAAGAUGAUAAGAGGCGCUGGAUUGUUGUGGGAUUCCCCAAAACCACAACAAUUUUAGCUAGCUAUCUUUAAGGAAUUGAAGGAUGCGGAUGGUGAAAAUCCUCUGAAGUGGUUUUGGAGAUGGCUGGAAUGAUGUGAGCUCGUGGGGGAUCUCUGCUUGUGGAUGAUGUCCCUCCAUUCAGUCGGUUUGGUCUGUAGUUUGAGUGUCCAGCAGAGAUUCUUCUUGGGGGUCCUGGUUUAAUGGUUGGUGGCGGGUUCGGUGAUUAGAAUUUGAUUCCUUUUCCUUGUCUUUGGCGGAUCUUUGGUGCUUCCGGUGGUGGGAGUUUGGGUAAAACAGAUUCAUUAGAGAUGACUGUCGAUUGGAGCUCUUAAUUUAGGGUGAUUGCGACACGUUUUGAGGAGGCCGUAAGUAUAGCUGUAGCUGUUUCUUCCAUCAUACCUUGUCUUUCUCCAUCGAUGACUCUUUGCCUCCGAGCGGCACUUUCCACAGGAUCAGGGCAGUUAACAUAUCUGAUGGCCACAUCUUGGAGUUCUUCCAUUAUAGUUUCUCUAGUGAUUUGAUUUUGCUCGCAUGUAGGAGGAGGCUGCAGGAAUGAGAAGACCUCUUUCUCGAGGUUUCGACCAAGAAUUGGGUCUCGGAGACAAGACUUGGUCGAGGAUUCAACACUCUUAUGCUAUUCCAUUGAUUUCGCACAUCAUAUCCUAGACAAGACCUCAUGUGGUAGUCUAUAGAGUGGUUUUCGGAGAUGUGGUGGGAGCGAUCCUUCUGAGUGUGAUGUGGUUCAUGGUGAGGGGUGGUGAUUUCCUCACGUCGUGGGAGGGUAGGUGCUCGAGUUUGUCCGGAAUCGUUAACAUGAUUUGCAGUAAGUGAGUGACGGCGAGAGGGAGUCGGGUCAGGCUUUGCAUUGGUUGUUGUCGCAUUAUGAGUAAGGUUGGAGUGACGAGCGUAGAGACUGCAGUCCUUUUUUGUGGUGGUUUCAGGGUGUUGAUAGAGACUCAAACUCUGGCUGUUGUCUUUGUGAGCUCCAAAUCUUCAAAGGUACCCACUGCGUUGUAAAUGUCUUCAAUAAUUUUGAUUUUUCAAUAGUGAAGAGGGAUGCAUUUGAGCUGGAUCCAGAAAGGGAUCUGAGAGGGGAAGUUGUUCGAGAUGAUGUUCCCAACACUUAAGGAUUAUCAUCCACUUCACGUGUUGGUAAGGCUUGUUGCAGAGGACUUUAUGAAGAUCAUCCUCGUGUUCAAAGCAAAGUUGGAAGCAGGAGGAUCCGAGAUCGGCUCCUUUGAUUUUGCCCUUGAGUUCCCGUCUUCUAGAGAGACUGUUGAUGAAGGGCCAGAUGCGUUGAAAGUCUGGAUUGGGAGUUCUUCUUCUGUUCAUGACUGGGAGAGGGUUGAGAUGAUGAGUUAGUCGAUGCAGCAGCACAGAUUCGGAUAGUGAGAUGAUGGUGAGGAGCCUUGUUUGGAGAGAGCUAGCGUCGGCAGAGCUGUUGAGCUUAUGAAGGAGUCCUCUAGUGCAGAACAGAAGAGAUAAAGGUAAUAGGAGUACGAGAUAGCGUCAGAGACAUAGCGCAGAUGGGGCGAAGAUAGUGCCUUCAAGGGAGAAGGCUGUCGACCUUGAUGCAGAGCGGUUGCUGGCGGACCCUCCGACCGAUAUCGGGGGUGGGAACCUGGUGAAAAGGCAAUCGGAGCGGUUUUAUUAGGAAAAAAACCAAGUAGAUAUCUGUUACUAUCUAUAGAAACCAGUUAGAUAGAACUACCUAGUACUUCGUGUUUGGGAUAAAACAUUCCAACCGUUACGGCUGCACAUAUACAAUAUGAGAUUAAAAUAGUGAAAAUUAAUAUACUCGGAUUACAAGUGUUCAAUUAAUACAUUUCAGUGUUUAAUUUAACUUUAAUAUGUAUUUUGAAUCUUUAUUAAGUUUCUUAUUCAAUUAAAUAUUUUGUGUAA